rnacentral:rRNA from 1 species
GUACACGCUGUGACUAGCAUAUCAAUAAGCGGAGGAAAAGAAACUAACAAGGAUUCCCCUAGUAACGGCGAGUGAAGCGGGUAGAGCUCAAAUUUGAAAUCUUAAAGGGUUUCCCUUUACGAAUUGUAGUUUAAAGAAGUGUUUUCUGUUGAGGUUUUGGUAAAAGUUCUUUGGAAUAGGACAUCAUAGAGGGUGAGAAUCCCGUAUUUGACCUUUACUUUCAACUUUGUGAUACACUUUCAAAGAGUCGGAUUGUUUGGGAAUGCAGUCCAAAAUGGGUGGUAAAUUUCAUCUAAAGCUAAAUAUUGGCGAGAGACCGAUAGCGAACAAGUACCGUGAGGGAAAGAUGAAAAGAACUUUGAAAAGAGAGUUAAACAGUACGUGAAAUUGUCAAAAGGGAAGCGUUUGACACCAGUGUUGUUUUUCUGAAAAUCAAUUAAAGAACUGUUUAUGCUAAGUUGUUUAGACUUUAUCAGCUAACUGUUUAGUUUUGAGCUUUUCUUUAAUGCACUUUUCAGUUAACAAGUCAACAUCAAUUUCUUUUGCUGUAAAAAGCUUGAGGAAGGUGGCUUGAGAUUCGUCUUAAGUGUUUAUAGCCUCUUGCCUAUGCAGUCGGAGAGAUUGAGGUCUGCAGCGUAGAUCCUUCGGGGCUAAAUGCAUUUGUGCUAAGUUAUAGCAUUUUAUAGACAACUUGUUGACUAUGAUUUGUCUUGUAGCUUACUCGCUUAUGUUAUUUUACCUACGCUUAGGAUGUUGACGAGACUGUCGAUCUCAUCUAUACAUGACUCUGUGCAUAUCAAUAAGCGGAGGAAAAGAAGGGCUUCCUCUGUGAUUUUUAUGAGAUGAUUCAUGAUCUGGUCUACAUUCUGGCGGCUGUUGCGCUGCUGUUUGUAUUUAUGGUUCGGCUUGUAGGUGUGGAUGGCUCCUCUAUGGUACCUACGCUUAGGAUGUUGACGAGACUGUCGAUCU